rnacentral:rRNA from 1 species
CACCGCGGUUAUACGGGGGGCUCAAGUUGAUAGACCACGGCGUAAAGAGUGGUUAAGGAAAAUUUUAAACUAAAGCCAAACGCUUAUGGAGCCGUAAUACGCCUAUGAAAGUAUGAAGAACAACAACGAAAGUGGCUUUACCUAAACUUGAACCCACGAAAGCUAAGAAA